UGGGGAGCAGGGCGGGAAGGAGGCAGCUGCCCGCCGGCAGACGCGUCGCCGCUUGCCCGGAGGCGGGAGCAGCCCCGGAGACUGGAAUCUACAUGGAUUACUCAGACCUGUCUUCAUUGUUCUGGGAUUUGACCACAGGCUGGUUUCCUCUGUACUUUCACAGACAAUCCAUCCAAGAACCGAUCUGCUGGAACAGGAACUUGUGAGAGCUGGGUCAUAAGACAUCAUGAGACAGUCAAAGUGCAAAGAUUUCAAAGCAACAACUACAAGGUUGGUUUGUCUUUUUUUUAUAAAAAUUUGUUUUAAAAAGAAGAACCUCAGUGAGGCUGCAGUGACUAAAAGAAUAAAAACCAUAAAACUUAAAAGAAGAUACUCCUUCAGGCAAUUCUCAUGCCAGCCUUUAAAUACACAAAUGGGCAGCAUAGCACAAUCAGAAUCUAAUGAGGGAAGCUUGUGUAGCAUGUGUCUACCCUACUCUAGUCUCUUGUCCUUCCUCAUGAAUACCUUUUCAGCACAAAAACUGAAUAAAACCUAAGAAACAAUAUAUCUUAAAAAUUGUUCGCAGGCUCAUUUUUUGUACAUUUAGGACUAAUGGUGCAAUCUUUCAUUUACAGUGCUCGUAUAAAUAGUACUUCUGAAUUUACUGAGUCUAUUCGUAUGAUUUGGGGUUAGCCUGCUCUAAUUCUAACUUGUUAGAGCUAACACCAUUCCUUAUCCUUCUAUAGGUUCUUGAGACUUUUUAGGAUUUGGCU